GCAUCAGUAGUAUAGCGGUAGAAUACUCGCCUUCCAAGCGAGUGGCCCGGGUUCAACUCCCGGCUGAUGCA
rnacentral:tRNA from 2 species